GUGGAUUCUCAAGCGUGAGGUAAGAGCAUUUGGUGGAUGCCUUGGCAUGUGCAGGCGAUGAAGGACGUGGCACGCUGCGAUAAGCGUCGGGGAGAUGUGAGCAAUCUUUGAUCCGGCGAUUUCCGAAUGGGGAAACCCACCCUCACCAUUUCCUUUCGAUUGUUUUCGGACAGUCGGAAAGAGGUGGAUAGGGUAUCACCAGACUGAAUACAUAGGUUUGGUGAAGCGAACCCGGGGAACUGAAACAUCUCAGUACCCGGAGGAAAAGACAUCAACAGAGAUUCCCGUAGUAGUGGCGAGCGAACCGGGACCAGGCCAGUGCCUUCAUUUCAACUAGCAAAACACUUUGGAAAGAGUGGCCAUAGCGGGUGACAGCCCCGUAUGCGAAAGUGAUGAUGAAGGACUCGAGUAGGGCGGGACACGUGAAAUCCUGUCUGAACAUGGGGGGACCACCCUCCAAGCCUAAAUACUCGCACAUGACCGAUAGCGAACACAGUACCGUGAGGGAAAGGUGAAAAGCACCCCGAUUAGGGGAGUGAAACAGUACCUGAAACCGGAUGCUUACAAGCAGUUGGAGCCCCAUAGGGGGUGACAGCGUACCUCUUGCAUAAUGGGUCAGUGACUUAAUCUACCAUGCAAGCUUAAGCCGUUAGGUGUAGGCGCAGCGAAAGCGAGUCUGAAUAGGGCGACUGAGUAUGAUGGAUUAGACCCGAACCCCGGCGAUCUAGGCAUGGCCAGGUUGAAGGUGCAGUAACAUGCACUGGAGGACCGAACCGGUGAAUGUUGAAAAAUUCUCGGAUGAGCUGUGUUUAGGGGUGAAAGGCCAAUCAAGCCGGGAAAUAGCUGGUUCUCCGCGAAAUCUAUUGAGGUAGAGCGUCGGAUGUAUGCCGAUGGGGGUAGAGCACUGGAUGGGCUAGGGCUGCGCGAGCGGUACCAAACCUAACCAAACUCCGAAUACCAUCGAGUCUUAUCCGGCAGACAGACGGCGGGUGCUAAGGUCCGUCGUCAAAAGGGAAACAGCCCUAACCUACAGCUAAGGUCCCCAAGUCAUAUCUAAGUGGGAAAGCAUGUGGGAAUCCCAAAACAACCAGGAGGUUGGCUUAGAAGCAGCCAUCCUUUAAAGAAAGCGUAACAGCUCACUGGUCUAAACAAGGGUUCCUGCGGCGAAGAUGUAACGGGGCUAAAGAUAUGCACCGAAGCUUAGGGUUCAGAAUUUAUUCUGAGCGGUAGCGGAGCGUUCCGUAAGCGAGUGAAGGCGAAGGGUAACCGACGCUGGACGUAUCGGAAGUGCGAAUGCUGACAUGAGUAGCGACAAACAGGGUGAGAUGCCCUGUCGCCGAAAGACCAAGGGUUCCUGCGCAACGCUAAUCGGCGCAGGGUUAGCCGGCCCCUAAGACGAGCCCGAAGGGGGUAGUCGAUGGGAACCACGUAAAUAUUCGUGGGCCUGAAGAUGUGUGACGGAUCGUGGAAGUUGUUUUCUCUUAUUGGAUUGAGAGGGCAGCCAAGCGGUUCCAGGAAAUAGCCUCUUCACUAUAGACCGUACCCGAAACCGACACAGGUGGUCAGGUAGAGUAUACCAAGGCGCUUGAGAGAAGUAUCCUGAAGGAACUCGGCAAAUUGCCUCCGUACCUUCGGAAGAAGGAGGCCCCAUAUCGACGCAAGUCUUUGUGGGGGGCACAGGCCAGGGGGUAGCGACUGUUUAGCAAAAACACAGCACUCUGCUAAGUCGGCUUCAAGACGACGUAUAGGGUGUGACGCCUGCCCGGUGCUCGAAGGUUAAGAGGAGGAGUGCAAGCUCCGAAUUGAAGCCCGAGUAAACGGCGGCCGUAACUAUAACGGUCCUAAGGUAGCGAAAUUCCUUGUCGGGUAAGUUCCGACCUGCACGAAUGGCGUAACGACUUCCCCACUGUCUCCAGGAUAUGCUCAGCGAAAUUGAAUUCUCCGUGAAGAUGCGGAGUACCCGCGGUUAGACGGAAAGACCCCGUGCACCUUUACUGCAGCUUCAGAGUGGCAUUAGGAAAUUACUGUGUAGAAUAGGUGGGAGGCUUUGAAACAUCGGCGCCAGCUGGUGUGGAGCCAACCUGUGAAAUACCACCCUGUGAUUUUCUGAUGUCUAACCACGCACCGUUAUCCGGUGUUGGGACCCUCUGUGGCGGGUAGUUUGACUGGGGCGGUCGCCUCCUAAAGAGUAACGGAGG
rnacentral:rRNA from 1 species